rnacentral:tRNA from 2 species
GGCCGCGUAGUGUAGUGGUUAGCACGCAGGAUUUUGAGAUCAACUUUCCUGAGACCUGAGUUCAAUCCUCGGCGGGGCCU